GACGAACGCUGGCGGCGUGCCUAAUACAUGCAAGUCGAACGGUUUAGUUCCAAGAGGCUUGCCUUUUGGAACUAGACAGUGGCGGACGGGUGAGUAACACGUAGGCAACCUACCUGUCAAACCGGGAUAACCGCGGGAAACCGAAGCUAAACCCGGAUAAGCUCCUUGUUCGCAUGAAGGGGGAGUGAAAAGGUGCGACCUGAUGACAGAUUGGCCUGCGGCGGAUUAGCUAGUAGGUAGGGGAACGGCCUACCUAGUCGAUGAUGCGUAACCGGCCUGAGAGGGUGAGCAGACACACUGGAACUGAGACACGGUCCAGACUCCUGCGGGAGGCAGCAGGGGGGAAUAGUGGGCAAGGGGCGGAAGCCUGAUCCAGCCAUGCCGCGUGUGGGAAGAAGGUCGUCGGAUUGUAAAGCACUUUAAGUUGGGAAGAAGGGAAGUAAGGUAAUACCUGGCUGUUGUGACGUUACCAACAGAGUAAGCACCGGCUAACUUCGUG
rnacentral:rRNA from 1 species